rnacentral:rRNA from 1 species
AUCUGGGCGGCGGAAUUCAAGACGGCUGGCGGGUCUCGCGCUCGUUCGGCCGUUUGAUAUUUCCGUCGCUGUGUCAGACGUCGUGACCUGUUUGUCGUCGGUCCUUGCUCGGAGGAAUUGCGAUCGAGUUCGUUGCGGGCGCGUUUCGGCGUGCUUCGCGGCGAAGACGCGACUCUCUGGCCGACGACGGACAGUAAGCAACGGUGUCUGGCGCCGUGUCUCGCACUCGGCGUCGGUGCCGGUCAGCGACGAUUUCUUCGGGCCUCUUUCCGACCCGUCUUGAAACACGGACCAAGGAGUCUAACAUGCGCGCGAGUCGCGGGGUUUCGAGCGUACCACGGUGCGCUCGUUACUUCCGAAACCCGUACGUUGAAGGCGUAAUGAAAGUGAACAGGGAAGAUGGCGUUCCGAGACCACGUACCGUGAUCGAGUAUCGCGGCCGGACGUCCGCACUCCCGGGGCGUCUCAAUGGUUCGCCACGGAUGCGGACGAUCGUCUUUCGGGGCGGUGGUCGGUCUGUGGCGGUCCGA